ACUCUUUGGAAGGGCCUUGUAAAGCCUUUUAAAGCAGAAAUUGUAACCCACUCAAAUUUAUCUAAACCCUUUCAUUUAACUCAAUUAAUAAAACAUGAAUCAAUCCCUGUAGAUAGGGGCGGAACUAGGAUCCGGCAAGAGGUUCAUUCGAACCCUACUCGAUGAAAAUUACACAAUAUAUAUGAGGUUAAAAUUUAUUUUUUAUGUAUGCAUAUGAAAUGUUGAAUUCUUUUGGACUUGUCGUACAUUUACUUCUUCAUAUUUUUUAAACCCUCAAUGAUAAUCAUGAUUUUGCCACCACAAAUUUAUAAGUAGAACUGCAGAAGAUAUUCAUUAUUUUCUUCUCUUUUUCCUUUAUUAGGGUCGCUUUAAAUAAAAUUCGCAUUCUUUCGUGGGAUAAACUUGCUACAAAUGGAAGUCCUACUUGACGCUGGAUUUUCCAUAUCUACUUUUGCAUUUUUCAUGUAAGUUGUAAAUAUAUCUUUUAUUCUUUGUUCUAAGUUAUCAUACUUUUUUUCUUGUGCAUUGCAUAAUAUAGAUGCAGAGAAUUUGGUAAAGUUUUAUGCUUUAAAAUUACCUCAAAGUUGCCGAUUGAUGAUUGGCUUCCUCUUUGUCAUCAAAACCCUAGCUCUUCAUUAUUUGAAGAUUUGGAUGUUAAAUACCUGAUAUAUUGAGUCUGAUUUAAAAGUAGUUCUCUUCAAUAAUAUUACUAGUACAGUAAACAAAAUCAACACAAAGGGAGAAUUAAAGGAACACAUAAGAAUAUUGGAUAGAGAAAGUGUUAGAAUUUUUGUCCUGAUUUUCUUAUCAAAUUUAAAUUAUAUUUUUCUUAGAAUGAAAAUAAAAGUAAUACCAUAAUUACUUUUACUUUUACUGAAAGGAAAAUAUAAAUUUUUUUCAUAUUUGGCUAACCUCUUUUUUGGAGGAAAUGUUUUGGAAUUUUAUAAAUAGAAGACCCCUUCCUCAUAUCAUAACACAAUAGCAUCCAUAAUAUAGUCUUUAAAGAGUCUUUGUUUAGGGGGAGAAUUUUCUCUCUCAUUGAUUUGUUUGAUUUUAUGCUUAUUUAUUCCUUUAUUUUUGUCACAUGUGAAAAUUUCCUUCGGUGAACUUUGAAUUUGUGUUUGGAUUUUGAUUUUGUACAAAUUGAAGUCUUCAAUUGAAUUUUAUUGAAGAAUUACUUGACAAUAACAUGAUUAUUGAUGAUGCUCUUGAUACAAUGAAAUAAUUACUUUAAAAUGCAUUAUGUUUGUUAAUUCAAAAUUGACCGAAUUAGUUAUUUGUUAUUUGUGAUUUGUACGUAUUGUAUCUUGCUAUUGACUAUUCUUGACUGAAUAUGAUCACUUAGUAAGUGAGAUUAGAACUUUUUACAUUUUACGAUAAAAUUUGGAUCACUUUUAUUUUCUUGUAAUAGUUGAUUCUUUUUAUUUUUUGAUUUUUCUUAGAUAUUUUGGGUAGUUGUGAUUUAAUUUUCUACGUCAAAUUGAUUUGAUUCAUAUGUUAAGAAUAUUCUUUGAUCAAUUAUUUUUAAUAUCUUUUUUUUCUUUUGUUUUUGACUAAGAUUUCACCUAUGGUAAUUAAAUACAUUGUACUGAUUAUUUUGAAUAUUUUCUCUUUUCUUUAAUUUUGACUGAAUUUUUUAUAUAUGGUAAUCAAGUAUAAGUUCUCCCUUAAUUGAUUUUUGACAAUAUUUUCUUUUCUUUUUAAUUUUGUGAAUUAUUUUUCUACAUAGUCUCCCUCUUUAUUUUGUGAUUACUCACUACAUAAAGACACUUCCCUCUCAUAUACGAAAGAGAAAGAAGAUUUUUUCAUCCUCUAAUACUCCUAUACAAAAAUAUAUUGUGUUUUUGACCUUCAAAAAUACUUGGUGUAAUUUUCUGAUUUUGGCUGCCACUUGGCUGCAUUAUUCUUGUUUGAAUUUUAUUGUUCUCUUGGUUAUGCCUUCUCUAAUUCUUUUAUUACUUCAUUUAAAUCGGUACGUUUUCUAACUCACACGUUCAAUUUCGCAAUUAGUUAAUGCAUGACUAUGGGUUUGAGUAUUUAUGGUGUUUCUUUUUGCAUUAAAUUUCCACGGAAUCAAUGUUUGUCUGGAUUUUUCAUUUCUAAUCAUUUGCUAUAUCUGGAUUGAGAUGGUUCGGACACGUGAUGAGGAGGGGCAUGGAUGUCCCGGUUCGUAGGUGUGAGAGGCUAGCUUUAGAUGGUUUUAGGCGGGGUAGGGGUAGGCCGAAGAAGUACUGGAGAAAGGUGAUUAGGCAGGACAUGGAGCAGUUACAGCUCACUGAGGACAUGACCCUAGAUAGGAAGAUCUGGAGGACGCGAAUUAGGGCAGUAGGCUCGGGUCAGUUNNNNNNNNNNNNNNNNNNNNNNNNNNNNNNNNNNNNNNNNNNNNNNNNNNNNNNNNNNNNNNNNNNNNNNNNNNNNNNNNNNNNNNNNNNNNNNNNNNNNNNNNNNNNNNNNNNNNNNNNNNNNNNNNNNNNNNNNNNNNNNNNNNNNNNNNNNNNNNNNNNNNNNNNNNNNNNNNNNNNNNNNNNNNNNNNNNNNNNNNNNNNNNNNNNNNNNNNNNNNNNNNNNNNNNNNNNNNNNNNNNNNNNNNNNNNNNNNNNNNNNNNNNNNNNNNNNNNNNNNNNNNNNNNNNNNNNNNNNNNNNNNNNNNNNNNNNNNNNNNNNNNNNNNNNNNNNNNNNNNNNNNNNNNNNNNNNNNNNNNNNNNNNNNNNNNNNNNNNNNNNNNNNNNNNNNNNNNNNNNNNNNNNNNNNNNNNNNNNNNNNNAUAUUUCUCUCUCUCUUGUUCUUGAGAGUAGAACCUAAAAUCUGUCUAACAAGUGUAGUUACACUUGUGUUGUUUCUUGGCUAGAAACUUGAGAUCUUGAGGUUCAUGAGUUCCUCUUGGUCUAAGUAAGAACUUGGUACUGAAAUCUUUUGGUCUUAGGGUCCUUUCUUCAAGUUAGGGUUCAUAGAUUCUAAGAUAUCUUUGUGUCAAGUUACUAUCUUUCAUUUUGUACUCUUGAAACUUUGCAGUAACUUAGUGAAGCCGUGUGGGGCUGAUUUUCGAUUCACUAUAGUGACUGCCAUUUGUUGUUCUUGUUGUUAACAUUGUACUCUUUGUAAUCUAUCACUUGUGUUGUUGAACCAUUGUUUAAUGCUAUUGUUAUCUUCUUGUUCUCCUUGUGUAGCUACUAUUUUGGUGUUGGUAUUCCUUCAAAAUUUCGUGAUUGUUGUUGUCUUCACAUAUUGGAGUUGUUAUCUUCAAGCUCUCAGAAUUGUAGUGUGUUUGGACGGAUUUUGUGACAAAUUUGAUACGCUCCAAGUUAGUAGUGUAUCAUGCGUACAUCUUACCCUCCCCAGACCUCACUAUGUGGGAAUACAUUGGGUUUGUUGUUGUUGUUAUAUGUAAACCAAUUGGCCAAAUAAUAUAAUAAUAUUAAGCUUUUUAAAAUUGUUUUAUGUGUCUUCUGAAUUGUCACCACAAUGGUUCGCAAACUAAUAGCUUCAGCAUGACGCCCUCUCGAUUUCGAACCCAAUAAGUGGUAUCAAAGCCUACGGUUUAAAGAUCCAGUGGUUUGGUAAACGAGGUUGAAGACAAGUUCAUGGCGUUUCAAAUCAGUUUGCAACCAAUUUGAUGAUAAUGAAGAUUUUGUUCAACUACAUGUGGAGAAAAGUUUUAAGUAUAUUUCAACAUUCUUGUUGUUGCAUCUUUAAAAAUGAAAUAUUACUUUUAAACCAUGAUAUUUUAAACCUUGUUUUUAACCAUGGCAAGCAGCAGUGAAGAAUAUUUUGUGAAGAACAAAGUUUAUGCAUGUGAAAAAGGCGGAUCAAGUCAAAAAAAAAAAGCCAAAAAGGGAAGAUUUGUUAGGAUUUUUGCCCUGAUUUUCUUACCAAAUUUAAGUUUUAUUUUUCUUAGAAUGAAAAUAAAAGUAAUACCAUAAUUACUUUAUUUUUUCUGAAAGGAAUAUAUAAAACUUUUCCAUAUUUGGCUAAUCUCUUUCUUGGAGGAAAGGUUUUGGAACUUUAUAAAUAGAAGACUCCUCUUCUCAUAUGAUAACACAAUAGCAUCUACAAUGUAGUCUUUAAAGAGUCUUUGUUUAGGGGAGAGUUUCUCUCUCAUUAGUUUUUAUAUCUUUAAUAUUAGAUUUUAUAUGUAGGCCAAUUGACCAAACAAUAUAAUAAUAUUAAGUUUUUUAGUAUUGUUUUAUGUGUCUUCUGAAUUGUCACCACAAUGGUUUGCAAUUAAUAGCUUCCACAUGAUGCCCUUUCGAUUUUGAACCCAACAAACCGAGAAUGAGUUCGGUACGGAGAAAUAUGAAAAAUACUUUUCUAUUUUUUCAUGUUCGUUUGACUAAAAAGUUUGGAAAUUAUUUUCUCUCCUUCAAACUAAGAAAAAUUACUUUCCUAAUCAAAGUUUAAAAACAAGUUGUAAUGUUCACACCACUCUUAAUAUGUUUUUAAAAAAUUUAAUGUUUUCCCUUACACCACAACCCCUACCCUGACUGCCCCACCCCCUNNNNNNNNNNNNNNNNNNNNNNNNNNNNNNNNNNNNNNNNNNNNNNNNNNCUUACUCCACCCCACCCAGUACCAGCCCCCUUCCCCCAGAAAAAUUCUUUUUUAGAUUUGUUUCUUAAAAUUUUUAAUUUUUCUUCUUAUCUCACCCCCACCCUCAAAAAAUGAAUUAAUUUUUUUAACAAAUGUAUUCAAAAAAUUUUUCUCACACCACCCUCUACCACUUACCCAUCCCCCUUAAUAGCUCCCACCACCGCCACCAAAAGAACAAAGUUGAAUUAUUUUUUAUAAAAACAAUCAAAAAAUAUUUCUUAACCNNNNNNNNNNNNNNNNNNNNNNNNNNNNNNNNNNNNNNNNNNNNNNNNNNNNNNNNNNNNNNNNNNNNNNNNNNNNNNNNNNNNNNNNNNNNNNNNNNNNNNNNNNNNNNNNNNNNNNNNNNNNNNNNNNNNNNNNNNNNNNNNNNNNNNNNNNNNNNNNNNNNNNNNNNNNNNNNNNNNNNNNNNNNNNNNNNNNNNNNNNNNNNNNNNNNNNNNNNNNNNNNNNNNNNNNNNNNNGAGUUGGAAUAAUGCGACCAAUGUAGAAUGCACUUGUGGAACUUGUUUCCCUUUCCUUUAUUAGAAAAGUCAUUUUUUCUUAUUUUUAAAGAACUUAUUUUUAUUUAAAAAAUAAAAAUUGAAACCUUUUAACCAACCACAUAAAUAAAACUUGGAAAAUAUUUUCCUCUCUACCGGACACACCUUUAAUUAUAUGAAUAAUAAAGUUUAUAUUAAAUCAUUAAACUUAAUCCCAAUUCAACAUUUUAUGAAAUUAAAUUAAAAAUAAAAUAUUUGAAAUUCUCAAUAUUACUUACUGAUUAGUAUAUGAUAUCACCAAUAGCCUGUUGUGGUCAAGCUUUUGAAUAUCAAAGGUUUUUUAAAAUAAAAAGACUAAUUAUUUUUUAAAAAAAAUUAAUUAUUUUUUUAAAAAAUAAGGUGUUUGGUCAAAACUUUCGGAAAAAAAUAAGUACUUCUUGAAAUAGAAAAAAAAAAUUCAGAAGCGAAAAGGUAAUUUUUUUCUCUAAAGUACUUCUUUUAGAAAAAAACAUACACUUUGAAGCACUUUUAGAAAAUUUGGUCAAAUAUUAUUUUCUGCUCAAAAAUAUUUUUAAAAUGUAUUGGUCACGUUAUGCAAUCUAUUUCUUACCAAAAAAAGAAAUUCUUAAAAAUAUUUUUCAAAAUAAACUAAUCAAAGAAUUGAUCAAACAAACAAUAUAACUGAUUCCUAAAAGAAAUGUUGAGACUAAUAGUCUGUUUGGAAUUGUUUUUUUCUAAAAAUCAAAAUCACUUUUUUUUAGAAAAAAACAUUCUUUAUUUUUAAAAGAAGGGUGUUUGAUAAACUUGUAAAAGUUCUUUUAAAAAGAAGCAGAAGCAGUUUUCAGAAGCAGAAAGUUCCUGUUUUUCAAAAAAAAAAAAAAACAGAAGCAGAAGUAGAAAAUUAUCUUCUUCAUGAAAAAAAUAUUUCUAUCAUUUACACACACAUAUAACUGUUAUUAAUUAAUUAGCAUAUUUUACAAACUUGAUACUAAAAUUUUAUACUUUAUAUCUGCAUCAUAAUUCUUUAUUUCAUUCUAUAAUUGAUAUAUUAUUAUUUUAUUUUUCACUGAUUUUUCUUAAAUAAAAUUAAAAAUAUCAUUGAUAAUGAUGAUUGAAGAAUAUAUAAACCUUUAGUUUUUAUUAUUAAUAAUAAUAAAUGACAGAUGAAUAACUUUGUAAGAUCAAAUGGUAUUUUGACAGCACUUGUAAAUUUUUUCUUGAACUUUUAAUUUUAAAUAAAUAAUUCAUAAAAAGUGUCAUAUUUGUGUGGUGAAUUUUUUCAUAUAUAGUGAUUUAAUUUAUGAAAUAGUUUUUAAAUUUAUUUUUCUUUGAUGUUUCUAAUUAAUAUUUAAAUUAUUUAAGUAAUAUAUCAUCAUUUAAUAAUUUUAAUGUAUCUAUGUAUAUAACUAUUGAUUAAAAAAUUUAUAGUAUGUACUUUUAAUUAAAUAAAAUAAUUUUUUGAUUAAAUUUUUUAUAAAGAUAUUUAAAAUAAAUUUUCUCUGUAAAAUGAUUUUAGCAGUAAAAGUAUUGUUCUAUGUUUUGAUGAUGACUAUGAAAUACUCAGGGACCGAAUCCGUUAUAUGAUUUGCUGAAAGGUAGUUGUACACUGUUGCACUCUGUACAGUUUUGUUCUGAAGCAUAAUUACUGUAUAGGUGCAUAGAGUACAACAAUGGACACCUGGUCCAAUCAAAUGCAAGCCAAGAUGUCUACACUUCUAUAUAAACAAGUGGAAGCAACUUUGAAACUCUAUUUUUACAUCAGAUAUUUUCGUGAAAGCAGCAAAAAAUCUUUGGACUCGAGAUCUUGGAAUUUCAUUGCUCUUUAGUUUUGCUUUUCUUGAGUCAUGUCUUAGAAACUGCUUUACUCCAGUGUUGUGAGUAAGGAUUUUUUUUAAUUUUGUGUUUGAUCUUACUUAGAUACCUAAGAUUGGUCGGCUAGAGUUAGUUGCCUGAGUGGGUGGUGAGACAGAGUUGUCUGGAGUAGGUUUGUAAAAGAGUAUUGCAAUCCUUAGGACUUAGAGUUAAGUCCAUUUAGAGUAUGUAAUCAAAGUUAAUUCAUUAUAGUAGAGCUUGAGAAAGCUUGUGGGGACAAGUUGGUGUUUUUUUCUCUUGAGCAAAGAGGUUUUCGGAUAAAAUUGUGUGCGUCGAUUUACUUUGAGCAUUUACUUUGUGUUCUUAUUUUUACUGUCACUUAUUACUUCUUAGGGACCUGGUCCCUUAGUGGUGGUGAAUCUGUACGAUUCAAUAAUUGAUAUUAGAACGAUGCACUCUAAAUGGUUAACACCUAAAGUGGAUCCUUGAUUAUGGUUGCACCACCGAAUCUGGAGGAAGGACAGUCAACCACUAGACUAACUCAAUUCAAUAGUCAAUACUAUGAUUGGUGAAAGACAAGAAUGCACAAUUUUAUCAUGACUAAAGGUAGUGAGCUAUGAGAUGUGAUCCUUGUUGGACCUUAUGUUCUUGUAAAAGAAGUUAAGGAAUGAUAAAUCAUCAGGUUAGUUCCUAAAACCCAAAGGGAAUAUAAUGAAGCGGAUCACAAAAAGAUUGAAAAGAAUUUCAAAGGUAAAAAGCUCUUCAUCUGUGGUAUAAGACCUGAUGAGUAUAAUCAUAUUUUUGCUUGUGAGAGUGUAAAAUAGAUUUAGUACUAUAUAAGAACCACUCAUGAAAGAACUAGUCAGGUCAAAGAAUCUAAAGUGGAUAUGCUAACCAUUCAAUAUAAAGCCUCUUCUAUGAAGAGAAGUGAAACCAUUCAAGAAAUGCACACCAGAUUUAUCUCUAGCACUAAUGAAUUACAUUGUCUUGGUGAGGUUAUUCCACUUAGCAAAUAGGUGAGGAAGAUAUUAGGAGUUUUGCCUAAUUCAUAGGAGAGUAAGGUUAAUGCCUUUUCUGAAGCUAGAGAUUAAAAAACUCUGACCAUGGAUGAGUUAAUUGAAAACCUGAAGACUUGUGAACUAAAGAAGAAGAAGAAUCAAGAAAAGAAGGAACCUAAAAAGGAGAAAUACUUGUCUUUAAAAUCUUUAAAAUUUGAGUCUAGUAAAAAAGAUGAAUAUUUUACCUACUUAGCCAGAAAGUUCAUUAGGGCUAUGAAGAGAACUAGGAAGUUUCAAAAGAAGGGCAACCUCAGUGGGCCAACUGGUGCAAAUGAGCUAUGUCACAAAUAUGGUAAAUUUGUAAAUUUCAUUAAGAAAUGUCCAUACACAAAAUGGACUAUCAAGAGUAUCUGAAGCCAGGAGGAAACAAAGCAAAGAAAAAAGAUCGGAUCUCUGACAAGUCUAGAAGGAAGGCUACAACAGACUAUGUAGUGAAGCAAACUUAAAAUGCCUAAGGAGACUCAUCAAGUAAGUCAGAUGAAUUAGAAAAGCCUGAAGAUACCUCUAUGUGGUGGAAGAUAGUGAAACCAACUAUAAUCUUCUCUUUGAUUUCAUGGCCAGAUCAAAUGAUGAUGAAGAAGAAAAAAAAUGUAAUUUCGUUUAACAUUAGGCAAAAUCUGAAUGAAUACACGCCCAAGAAGUUAAGAAAACUUGCAAAUAUCUUAAUUGACUCUCUAUGUAAGCUCACUAUUGUAAAUGAUCUACUUAAAAGAAAAUAUAGAUAAUUUAGAAUAUGAAAAACUAGCUCUACCCAUUUAGUUAUCUAAGCUAGGAGAACAUUUUUUAAGGUUAACUUCAUAAAAUAAAGAGAUGUUGGAAAAAUUGAGGAAAUUAGUUGAAUCUGAGUAUAAAGGAAAAAAUAAGGCUAGUUGCAACUAGAACAUCAGGAGAAGCUGAACAAGUAUCAAAAGCCUCUCAUGUCUGCUUUAUAGAAAAUGAUGAAUUAGAAAGUUACUUAAUCGAAAUAAGAGAAGAUCUCAACAAGUCUCUGAAAUAGACUACUUCAUCAUAGAUCCUUGUUAGUCUGACUAGUCAAGAAAUGAAUAAUGGUAGAGGUCUUGGCAGUAAACACAGUAAUCCUUUUCCCAAGUCUCAAAGAAAGUAUGUUCAUUUUGACAACAUGUACCCAUUAUGGAAGAAAUGGUCACAAAAAGUAUGAGUAUCAAGGAAGGCUUAAAUGUAAGAUGAAAUCUCAUAGGUAUGUUUAGAAGAUGCAAUCACUUAAACAGGAACCUGGUAUAGACUGUUUGGCUAGACCAAAAAGGUUGUGAUUACUCCUUUAUCUCCCUAUUGAGAACUCAAACUCAAAUGGGUUUUCAAAUCUGACAAAUAUUCUUUGAAUGUAGGUAGGAGUAAGGGAAAGUAGUCAAAGUUGAUUUAUGGAUAGUGUAUGUUCUAAGCACAUGACUAGAAGAACUGGCUAUUUUUUCUCACUCAAGGUACUUCAAGGUGAAGGUGUUUCUUUUUGAAAUGGAAAGAAAUGUUAUAUUCUUGGUGUUGGAAGAUUGUAAAGUCCUUAAAUCAUGUUAUUGAAGAUGUGUACUAUGUGUGUGGUUUAAAGUAUAGCUUACUAAGUGUGUCCCAAAAUUAUGAUAAAGGAAAUGAAGUAAAGUCCGUAUCUGAUUUGUGUACUAUAACUAGUUUGAAAAUUGGGAGUGUUAUCCUUAGAGCCAAAAGAUGUAAAAAUAUGUAUGUGGCUGAUCUGGACUCAGUUCCUGAAUAUGAAUUGACUUGUUUGAGAGCUCAAAGUGGAAUGUAAAUCUCUGCAUAGAAGACUAGAUCAUGCAAGUUCUUCUCUACUCAACAAGUUGGUUUUAAACGACCUGGUCUAUGGUGUUCCAAAUCUAUAAUUUUUAGACUCCAGGAUAUGUGAUGCUUGUGUUAGAGAUAAACAAACCAGGUCUCCAUUCAAGCAGAAGAAGCAAAUAGAUACAUCUAGACCUCUUGAAUUAUUGCACAUGGACUUGUGUGGACUUCUAAAGGUUUAAAGUAUAGGAGUGAAGAAGUAUAUUUUUGUUAUUAUAGAUGACUACUCCAGAUUCACUUGGACUCUAUUCUAGAGAGUUAAGGAUGAUACUUAUGAAGUCUUGGUAAUCUUUUCUAAACAAAUUCUUGUGAAGUUGAAUGGAAAAAUAACAGGAAUCAGGUCUGAUCAAGGAACUGAAUUUGAGAAUACUAAAGUGGAGGAAUUUUGUGAUGAAAAUAGAAUGUCAUAACUUUUCAUCUCUAAUAACUCCACAACAAAAUGGCAUGGUUAAAAGAAAGAACAAGACUUUGAUUGAUAUUUCUAGAACCAUGCUAAUUAAUGGCGAUCUUCCAAAAAGUUCUUGGGCUUAAGCUAUGAACACUGCUUGCUGUGUUGCCAAUAGAUGUUUGAUCAGAUCUAUACUCAACAAUAUUCCUUAUGAACUGAUAUUCAACAAAAGGACCAAACUUGAUUAUUUCAGGUAUUUUGGUUGCAAGUGUUUUGUUCUAAACAUCGGUAAGGACGAGUUGUGAAAAUUUAAUUCUAAAAGUAAUGAAGUUGUUUUUGUAGGCUACUCCUAAACGAGUAAAGCCUACAAGUCUAUGAUAAAAUGACCUUGUGUGAGGAGAAAAAUGUGCAUGUCAUCUUUAAUGAAUUAGGAAACAUGAAGAACCCAAUAGAAAGUGAUAACAAAGAUAUGGAGGAACUAAUUCCUAUUCAAAAGGUUAGUUCAGCAGAGGCUGAAUCGAAAGAUCAAAAUAUUCAAGGUGAUGUAGUUACAGAAGAAGAAGAGGGAGAAGAACUAGAUCCUCAACUGCAGAAUCUUGUCACUAAUGAGUCCUAACAAAGAAUUCUGGAUCAAUAUUCUCAAGGACCUGGUUCUAGCAUACCUCAACUAACUUUAAAAAUAUCAAAUUGGAAGCAUGCGUCAUCUUACCCCCUUGAGAAUCUGAAUUCUCUAUUGGAAUCUAGAAUGAAAACAAGGGUACAAGCAAGAAAUUUUAUGGUAUUUUCAACCUUCAUAUCCUAAAUUGAGCCAAAAAAAAUGUGAAGGAAGCCUCAAAGAUGUUGACUGGAUAAAUGUUAUAUAGAAAAAACUUUAUCAAUUUAAAAGAAGCAAAGUUUGGCACCUAGUCCCCAGACCUGCUGACAAAACUAUUAUUGGGACAAAAUAGGUGUACAAAAACAAGCAAGAUGAGCAUGGCACUAUCACUAGAAAUAAAGCAAGGCUUGUUGUACAAGAUAUAAUCAUAAAGAAGAAAAUAACUAUGAUGAAACUUUUGUUCCUGCUGUAAGGAUGGAAGCAAUCAGAAUUCUUAUUGUUUUUGUUGCUUAUAUAGGAUUCAAUCUUUCUCAAAUAGAUGUAAGGAGUGAUUUUUUAAAUGAAAAUAUAAAAGAAGUUUAUGUCAAGCAACCUCCAGUUUUUAAAGAUAUUAAUCUUCCAUAUUAUGCGGUAAAAUUAGUAAAGCUUUCUAUGGGUUGAAAUAGGCUCCUAAAGCAUAGUAUGAAAGAGUGUCAAAGUUUCUUCUGAAAAAUAAUUUUAAGAGAGGGAAAGUUAACAACACCCUAUUUCUGAACUCAAGAGGAAAUAGCUUGCUGAUUGUGCAAAUUUAUGUUGAUGAGAUUAUUUUUGGAGCAACUUCUGAGUCCUUAUGUCAAGAAUUUGCUAAACUAAUGGGAAGUGAAUUUGAGAUGAGCAUGAUAGGUAAGUUGAGCUUCUUUCUUAGGCUGCAGAUCAAGCAAACAUCUCAGGAUACUAUAAUUUGUCUAGAAAAAUACAUAAGGAGUUGCUAAAGAAAUUCAACAUUGGGGAUGCCAAGCUUAUUGAAAACCCUAUUGGUACUAGCUCUAAAAUGGAUAUUGAUGAACCUGGUCUCUCAGUUAAGAGACCAUGUACAGAGGAAUCAUUGGUUAUUUACUAUACAUUGCUACUAGAAGGCCUGAUAUUGUGUUCAAUAUAGGUAAAUGUGUCAGAUUUUAGGCUUGUCCAAAGGAGUCUCACUUGAAAGCUACCAAAAGAAUCUCAGAUAUCUAAAGGGUAUAGAGGACCUGAUCCUGUUCUAUCCUUCUAGAGACACCUUUGAUUUAAUUCGGUAUGCUAAUGCAGAAUAUGAUGUGUACUUAGUGGAUAUAAAGAGUGGCUCUAAAAUAUCUCAUUUCCUUGGUUCAUCUCUUAUUUCAUAGAGUUCUAAAAAGCAAAACUCAGUUGCUCUAUCUACUGCAGAAGUUGAAUAUGUAGUUGAGCUUCAUGUUGUGCUUAAUUACUCUGGAUAAAAUAGUAAAUGAAGGAUUUUAGAAUUGCCACUGACACUAUUUCACUGAUAUGUGACAACACAAGUGCUCUAAAUAUAGCAAAGAAACUUUUACAUCAUAAGAGGACAAAGUACAUUGCUACAAGAUAAUUUCUUGAGGAAAAUAUUGAAAAAUGAACUAUUUGUGUGAAGUCUUGUAAGAUUGAAAAUCAAGUGGCUGACAUCUUCACAAAUACUCUCCAUAGGGAGUAAUUUAUAAAGAACCGGCUAAGGAUGGGUCUGAUUAAGAUAAACUAAUCAGCUUUAGUGGAUCAAAUUCCUCACAUGUUGGCUAUGAUUAGGAGGCAGGUAUCAUUGUUUCAAUUUUUGCAAAUUGAUCUUACUCAGUACCAUGCCUUUGCAGGUAUACAAGUGUGGCGAGCAAACUCUUGAAGGAUAGAUAAUGAGACAGACAUCAGAUAAAGUAACUCCUUUAAGAAAGGAAGGGGCCUGGUCCUAUCCCGCAGGUCAUUAUCAUAUGUGUCUUUCUUAAAAAUUGCAUAAAUAAUUGUUCUAAAAAGCCACGUGUCUUUUUUCGCUUGUUUGAAACUGUCAAAUCAUUUAACUGAAAAAAGGUGCACCAAUUGGGAUCAGACACAUCUCUUGAAAUUCAAUUCCAAACAAUACACCCCUUCUCCUUAACACCAAAUUAAAGUCCCUCUGUUUCUUCACUCUUAUCUAAAUUCCCUUUAACCCUCAAACAACGAUCAUCUUCUUCUCUUAAAAACUUCUCCUUACACUCAAUUUUUUUCUCUUAAAAGAUAAAAUGUCUGAUAAAGCCUCUUCCUCAAGACCAUCAAAAGAACCUAAACUUAUUCCCCCAAGCCCUUAUCAGAAAAUCCUUUCUAUGUUCGCUCACCAAUAUUAGUGUCAAUAGUAAAACCUACCAUGUGAGAAGUCUCUGAAAUCACUGAAUAAAACCCAGAAAGAGCUAUAUCAUUGAUACCAGUGAAGCUUUUGGGUCACCCAUAGAUAUAAAAUGAUACCAGUGAAGCUUUUGGGUCACCCAUAGAUACAAAAUUUUCUACACACUCUACUCCCUCAAAACCCCAAAAAAUAGAUACUCUCUCAGAAAAUCCCAAAGAAUCAGGUUCUCCUGCUCUAUCAGAAUCCAACUCUAUUUUUGCUCAAUUCUUUGAGGAGGACCUUCCAGUCAAAAAUUUGAACCCCUUUAGUAGGAUAUUAGCAAGAGAAGAUUGGGUGACUAAGAGCCUCACUCCAUUAGCUAGUGCUCAAAGAGAGAGCACGCUUGAGUUAGAAGAAAACCUAUUUAAGGAAUCCCCACCCUCUAUUUUUAGCAUAGCCCCUGCAUCUACUGAGCAUCUUAAAAUAGUUGUGCAUCCUUCUAUGGAGGAUGAUAAAGAGGAUGAGGGGGAUAAUAAUAUGCCCCUGAGAUGGGCAAUGCAAAAGCAAAGAGAAAGCCAAGAGAAAGAGAAAAUUGAUGAACUUAUGAAACUGGUCAAGUCUUAUACCACUAGAAGUGUGGAGAAAAUAUUAUUGAGAGAUGCCAUAAAAGCCAACAAAAUAGCCACAAUUAAGAUAAGAAGGUUGAAAAAGGGAAUAAUGAUUAAUGAAGAAAAUAUUGAGGUAGUUGAUGUGGGAGAAGAAGAGGAAGAAAUUGAUGUUGAUAUUGCUACUGUAAUAGAAAAAAGAAAGAGGGAAGGAGGACCAGGUCCAGCAAAAUCAAAAUCUAUUACUCCAGAGAAACACAUUGCAGUGAAAAGAAAAGUGCCUGAGAGACCUGGUCCUAUGAAAAAGAGUAUGGAAGAAAAAGAAUCAGAAAGUAGAUCUAAAAGAAGAGAGGUGAAAAAAAGCAAGUUCUAUCUAGAGAAGAAAGAAAUGAGACACUGAAGUCUCAGAAGGUUCUAUCAGGAAGGGCAUUUGACCCUUAAAUAGUUAAACAAAUAGUGAUGGUAGAAUUGGUGGAGUAUGUGAGGCAUCAAGGCUGGUUACACCUCUUUGAGGAACUAGUCCCCUCUGUGUUUGAGAAGGAGGUUAGAGAGUUAAUCUACACCAUAAAGUUUGAAGAAUAUGGCUGGAGUUUGUUUGCCUUAGUGCAAAGAAAAAAGGUGGAGCUGGAUGAAGAGACCCUUGGGAAAAUUCUAGACAUUCUCAUUAUUGAAGUCAGAUAUUUAAAGAAUCAACAACCCUUAGUGGUAUUCAUGAGGUAUGAUUCUAAGGUGGGUUGGACUUCUAUAAUAGGUGUUAGAAAGAAGUUCUUAAAUAGUGAGUUUCGGCUGGUGUAUGAGUUUGUGAACAAAGUUGUACUGCCUAGGUCAGAAAAGGAGGUUGUAGCCUCUACAGUUGAUCUAUUUAUGAUGGAAUUCUGAAUAAACUUUGAACCUCUGAGUCUUCUUGCUCUAAUGAUUGAACAGAUGUACAAAGUUGUACAUAUUAAAGAAGGAAAACAUUAAAGCCUUAUGGGUAUUUUCUGAAUAGAGUGUUCAAUAACUUUAAGAUUGUUGGUAAAAAAGGAACACCUUUCAAAACAAAGAAAAUAUUCACUUUAAACCCUCUAAUUAAAAAUGAGUGUGUUGAAGAAAAGGUGGGAACCAUGUCCCGAGUGUCAAUACUGAUUGCUUCCCAAGAAAAAUUGAGUAUGGAGGCGGAUGAGUUAAGAAUGACACUAGCUGUAAAGGAAGCUGAGAUUACACACCUCGAAUUAAGAAAUCAUCAGCUGUCUUCAGAAGGAUCGGGUUCUUCAGAGGAACUAAAAAUUAAAAAUGUUGUAUUAAAGGCACAGAUAAUUGCUCUGACAGGAGAGGUCAAAGAGUUGAAUGUUGAAGUCAAAGACCUUACCAAACAACUUUUGAAUUCUUAUUCUGCUAAGAGUACAAGAAUGGAGAUGGUUCUCAGAUCCCUUGAUCCUAAACUUCCAUCUUCUUAAACCUCCCAUGUUGUUUUAUGAGUAUCCCUUAUGUUAGUUUUCCUUGAUUGUCUCUAUGGCUAUCAAGUUUAAUUUUUUUCUGUUUUUUUUUAAAUUGCAUUAUCUGGUACUAAUCAUGUUUACUAUAUCAAUAGAACUUGUAUUUGUGUCUAUCAUCUAUCUUUUUUAUAAGUUGUUCAUUCAUGCUUAUUUUGCCUCAGUGGUCAUGAGUUAACCUGUUUGUGCUAAUUGUUUAACUUGGUUUGCUAUCUUUACUUUUUUAUAACUCCAAAAGGGGAAAAAUAAUUUUAUUAUAGGCUAGUAGUGAGGACCUGGUCUCUAAUGUAAGAAUCUCCAAUACCUGGUCUCUAAUAACUCUAAUGUAAGUAUUAUAAAAGGAUCAAUGCUUUGAUAGAAGGAACUGUUGGUAGGGGGAAGAAGUGAUGUUGAUAGGGAAAAUUUGAAAUAAAACUUGAAUUCUUGUGGAUGUGCUGAAGUGAGGGGAAAUUUGAGUCCUCCUUAUAGAAUAUAGUUUGUUAUCAUAAAAAAAGAAGAAAUUAUUGUUUUAUGUUUUGAUGAUGACUAUGAAAUACUCAGGGACCAGGUACGUUAUAUGCUUUACUGAAGGACAGUUGUACAUUGUCGCACUCUGCACAGUUUUGUCCUAUAGAAUAAUUACUGUGUAGGUGCACAGUGUACAACAAUGGACACCUGAUCCAAUCAAAUUCCAACCAAGAUUUCUACACUCUUAUAUAAACAAAUGGAAACAACCAUGAAAUUCAGUUUUUGCAUAAGAUAUUUUUGUUAAGGUAGAAAAAAUCCUUUAGGAUCAAGAUCUUGGAAUUCCAUUGCUCUUUAGUUUUUCUUUUCUUAAGUCAUGUGAUCUGAGGUGGAUUUAUGCACCCCAGUGUUGUUAUCCGAACUUAUUUAGCCUUAUUUUUUAGGCCUUCUUAUGUGCUUAGUGAGUAACUCUGUAUAUAAUUAAGAAUAUAAGUGUUAAAAUACUUGAUUACAAUGUUUAAGGUGUGUUUCAAACAAGUUUGGAAUCAAUUUGGUCAGUUUAGAUGAGAAAACUAGUGUUACUAGCUUGAGCUAUGUGUUGUUCUAGUUAAUCUCCAUGGAUUAUAAUGUGCGUAGUGAGUUUCUAAGGGUAUGAAUGUGUAAGUAUAUGUGGAAUAACUUGUUUGUAGUGUUUAAAGUUCAAUUGAAACAAGUCAAGAGUUACAACUACGUUAAAGAUCAAAAGGACAAAACUAGUAUUCUUAGCUUAAGUUUCUAGUUCACCAUUUUGGGUUUUAUGUUGUUUUGAGCUGUAAUUCGUGGUGUUUGAUGUCAUAGAAUGCUUGGUGAGUUUAUCAUUAUGAUAUAUGAAUAAUAUACAAUCCAGAAAUCAUUUGGAAAAAAUAUCACAAGGCUUGGAAAGGAUGGACAAAAGUACGGGACAAGAUUUGACCACAAACGAAUGUUUUGGAGUCAUUGGCAUGCCACAGACCUUGUCCAUCAUGUUGGGAUCCAUUAAACUCCCUUGAGCAAAUCCUAAAUAACCGAUUCUAGUGUUUCACUGCAAUUUUGGCAUGCUACGGACCGUAGGAACCGCUAUAAGAAGCGUGGCAUGAACCCUAGUUCAAAUCUGCAGCUUGUGUCCUCCUAUAAAUAGGACCCUUAAACAUUAUGCUACACACCUUGGACGGCCUUGAAACUUUGAAGGAGACUGGAGAACACUUAAAUUAGGGUUAUUCCUCCUUUAAUUUAGUUUGUUUACAGAUUUUAACGUGUAUUUAUUCAUUACGAUUACGAUUAUGUCCAUGAGCGGCUAAACACUUUUUUUCUGGGUUAAGGCCAAAAACAUGAUUAUUCUUGUUAUGAAUUGACUUUUUUUUUUAUUAUUUAUCAUAUUUGGUUGUUUAUUUAUCUUUUUUAUCACAAGUUUAAGGAUUAUCUACCCUUAUAAUACAUCCAUAGUCAUCUUGUGAUCCCGAAAGGAGGAACAUGAGGAUAGUACGCGGGGAUAAAUAGAAUAGGAUUAUCUUCUACAACAUGAAGUUAUAAUUUGCAUUUAGGAUGGAAAUAUACCUAAGUGACCUAUUUGGUUUACGUACCACAUCACCGCUCAACGAUGUAGUUGUGGGGCUAAGCUAGAUAGGUAAUUAGAGGCUCUGAAGACCAUAGUCAUAAUAUCAACCCCGUGAAUCAACAACCAAGAUAAGUAACCUAACCAAUGAAGUUCAAUAGCAUAGUAUGAUUGUUCGCAAAGCCUUAGCCCUGGGUUUCUCCCUAUUAAUUGUCCAAGACCUUUAAUUUAUCGCAUUAUUUAGUUUAUGAUUACUUAUAAAUUUCAAACUCUUGUGGCUAUGUUUGCACUGAAUUGAUUGUAAUAGUGAACUAGAUUUGGAUAGUUUUCAACACAAGUCUCUGAGGGAUCAAUACUUAGCUUGUAAAAGGCUAUUAUAUUACUUAUUGAGACCACGUACACUUACGUGUGCGCUUGGGCGCAACAUCAUGUCCUAGAAACUGAUUUACUCCAGUGUUGUGAGUAAAGAUUUCUUUUGAUUUUGUGUUUGAUCUUGCUUAGGUAGAGUUACCGACGGUUAUUUGGCUAGAGUUAGUCGACUGAGUGGGUGGUGAGAUAGAGUUAUCUGGAGUAGGUUUGUGACAGAGUUAUUGCAAUCCGUAGGACUUAGAAUUAAGUUCAUUUUGAGUCUGUAAUCAGAGUUGAUUCAUUAUAGUGGAGCUUGAGAAAGCCUGUGAGGACAGCUCGUGGUUUUCCUCCCUUGAGCAAGGGGGUUUCCACGUAAAAUCGUGUGUGUUGAUUUACUUUGUGUUCUUACUUUUACUGUUACUUAUUACUUCUUAGGGGUAUGUUCCCUUAGUGAUGGUGAACCCUUACGUUUCAAUAAAAAGUUUAUUGAUACAUAUCCUUUUUGGUCAUUUGUCUAUCAAAAACACUUCUUGAAAAAAACAUUAUCCAAAUACAAUCUGUUUAUCAAAAGCAAUCUUUAAAUGAAUUUAUCAAAUACAUUGUUUUUUGCUAAAACACUUUUCUGAAAAGGUAUUUUUCAAAUAAGCAGUGUUCUAACAUCAAUCCUAAAUGGGCUCUAAAUCGAAAAAAUCAUCUUCUUUUUUUAUAGCUUAGCUAUUUUAAAUGCUCAGUUAACAAAAUUCGAUUUCAAACUCCUUAAAAGAGCUAGUCGGCUUGACAGACUUGAUAGUUCAUACUUCAUUGUGUUGCUUAAUUCACAAGUCGUUAGGAUUGUUGGUAUUCAUUCUAUCCAUCUCGUUAAAUUAUUUCAUUUCAAAUUAAAGAUUCGUUCUAGGCAAGUGAUUAAAAAGAAAAAAAAACGUAUAAAGUGUGAUAUCCAUGAACAGUUUGUUGAAUUUCUUUACAUUUUGUCGCACACGGGAAAAUAAUACACGUAAUCUUAGAUCAAAGGAUGAGCUGUGGUCCACAUUGACUUAGGCCCCAUCGUUUGCAUAAAGAUUAACAUCUCAAUCCAAAUGUGAAUUCGAGUAGUUGAAGUGUUGUCUAUAGAUCUAAGCGGUGACGGUGGUUUGGUUUGAAAAUAAGUUAGUUUCAGAAUUAUUUAUUAGUUAUGAUAUUUUUAUGCUGAGAUAAAAAUAAUAUUAUAGUUUUGAAAUAACUAAUUUUAGGGUGAGCUAUUUCAUUUAUUUUAUCUCAAUUAAACAUAAGUUCAUCCUAAAAUUUAUCCCAAAAUUAGUUAUUCUUUAUCCCUUGUACCAAUAAGCUGAUUAACACUACUUGUCUUUCAAUAAUUAAAUUUUCUUAUUUUUUAAAAUUUUUUUGAACAUAAUAAAUACUUAUAUAUUUUGAAUAAAAAAGUAAUUAAAUAUUAAAAACUUUUAAAUUUAAUAAAAUAAAAUUAUUAUUUAAUAAAAAAACAAAUAUGCAUCCAUGCUAGUGAAGGUGGAGAUAGUUUGUAGUUGUCGUGGUGGACAAUGGUUGUGCUAAUGCCUAUUAAUGGGUAGUUUUGUACUGGUGGAGAUGUUUGAAAUUGCGUGAUCGACAUUAUCGUGACAAUUGAUAGUGAUGAAGGUGAUUGUAACAGUGGGGUUGAUUGAUGUUAGUAGUUGGAAGGCGGUAGUUUUGAUGGUGAAGGUAGUUGAUAGUAGGAAUGGCUUGCAGCAAUGUAGUAAUAGUAAUGACGCUAAUGAUAAUUAUGACGGUAAUGACAGUGGCAUUGUGGUGACAGUUGAUAUGAUUAUAAUAAUGAAGGUGAUAUGUGUGGUAACUCUUAUCAAUAAUAAUUAACACUGAUGAUUAUUGUCAGUGAUGGUUGUGAUGACAAAUAUUAUUGAUGUUGUUACUGGUGGUUGGUGACACUGAUGGUACGUGUGAUGACAAAGAUGAUUAGUAGUUGUAACUGAUGAUUGUGUGAUACAAGAAAGACAAGGGAGACACGAAACACACACCAAAAUCAGUCCACGAGUUUAAAAAAUUGAGGAUUUUUUUUGUAACCACUCUCGAAUUCACUAACUAGAACAAGAAUGAGAAGAUAACAAGGUGUUUAACACCUAUUACAGCCAAUCAAACUAGAUUAACAACAACAAGAUGAUGAACAACAACAAUGGAACAAGAACAACAAGUCAUGGGUUUGGAUUACAAGAACACAUACACGGAUAUUAGAAUUAAAAGGAUAGUAGUGAGACGUGGAUUAUUACAAGAUUAAGAACCAAGUGUAUUUCAACACUAACCCCUAAUGAAUGUAAAAAUCAACCCCAUACUCUUACGGUGACCGCCAAGGGAAUCAACUCACCUAAAGAUCCACCAUUUCCAAGCAAAGAAUACUAUUGGCUUUCCAAGCCCUAAACUAAAAUGGCUAUUCCAAGCCCUAAUUAAGAACUACAUUAAGGUGUUCUACUCUCAAGAGAGAGGAUUUUCAAUGUCUCAAAAUAUCAUCAUUCAUAAACUAAAGAGGGAAGACCUAAAAGAGACUAUAUAUAGCCUUAUUACAUAAUGAGUGACAAAAUGACUCUAAUGCCCUUAAUGAAGGAGGGGCGGCCAUGGAGUGUCAAAUGGACAAGGCUAAGUUACCAAAAUUCUCUUAAGGCUAAGUGACCAAAAAUGCCCUUAAUAACCCGUGAGUCCUCAAGUCUUCAACGCUCCAAGAAAUCUUCCACACACGAGUUUGUUUGUUAACAUGCUCAAAUUGACCCCUCCAAGUAUGAUCCCAUGCCCUCCAUGCGACCAAUCACCAAAGCUUGAUUCUUCACAUAGUGACUUUGAAUGAUGUCAUCGAAAGCUAAGACGGUCAUUUGACUUGUAUCAUUGUGGAUAGAGUGAUGGUGAAAAUAAUGUACAUAAAAUUACCUCAUAAUGAUAUUAAAUUUUGUUCAAGAUCGUAAUGAUUAAAACUUAUUUAGACCAACUAAGUGAUUAGAUUUUAGCUUAAAUAAAUGCGCUUAAUAAUUUAAGGUCUGAACCAUUCAAAUUCAAAUGUAUCAUAAGAAAAAUAUAGUUAAUUUUAUUUUAUGUGUUUUAACUUGACCGUACACAAAUUUAAGAAUGUAAAAAAUAUUUUUAAAUGGAUGCGCAUAAUAUAUCAAAAUAUUAUGACAUGUCAUUUCUCUAUGAAAUAAUAGUAUUAAACUAAAUAUAUAAACAUUGAAAUUAAAAAAUUUACUAUAAAAGGUGAUAAUCUUUUUGAGUAAGAUUUAAGUUUUGAACCACGAAUUGGUAUAAGCAUUACAUACAUUGUCCCAGUACAAUAGUUUCAUGUUGCAGGACUUUUUCAGAGUAAGGCAAAGAGAGACUUGUGAUUGGUUGAUUUGAUUUUGAUUUAUAUUAGACAUGUAAAGCUGCUAAAAAAUAAACAAAAGGGGUCACCUAUUUACUCAAGUUGCAAAAGCCGUUGGAUUGGUUUGAGAGAUUUUGUUUUUUCAAUUCUAUGUCUGAUGGUAUCUAUGUUGGAGUCAACUGAUUCAGCUUCGGAUAGAAAAAUCUCAUUAUGGGGUGAAAAGUAAAAAUAUUUCAUAUCAAAGCUGACUUUUACACAGUGCUCAAAUUUGAGAUAAUAAAAAAUAUUUCUCUCCACUACAACCUUUCAAGGUAAUUUCAGAGUUGAUUUUGCUAUGCCUAAACAAUUAAUGAAAUCCAAGGAAGUCCUACAGAUGAUGGCUCAUCCCCACUCUACUUCCUUGUAACACACACGGGUGAUACGGUCAUUGGGAUUAUUUUAAUACAAUAUUUAUCAGGGUAAUUUUGGUAUUUCCUUAUGGGGAAAGGGACAAAUUAUUAUGUAGGAUCUAUAUUUAUUCUAGUUGUUGAGAAAUAAAGGGGAGGAAGGGUAAAACAAGUCGGAGCGCUAAUGUGGAAUAUUAUGUUUCAUCUAACUCAUCAAAAUGUCAGUGUCAUGUAAAAUUGAAUAUGCACCUCCAACAAUCCCGAAGGAGGAAGGAUAUAAUUGAAUUAUUUAGAUACCAUCAGAGAUAUUCUUGUAUCUAUUGUACAACAAAGGACAAAUUUGAUCCCUUAUGCAUAGCAGAACAAGUUUGACAUUUUUUUUUAUAGUGUGAUUUACAAAAAUGACUUUUAAAAUACGAUGAUCUUGAAUUUUUGACUAUGUUUGCUUCAAUAAACUUCAAGUUAAAUAAAUUUUGAUUUUUUACUUAUAAGACUUUACCACAAGUGAAAUCAAAAGUUUAAAAUCACUUACUUUUAAGAUUGAAUAUAAUUUUCUCCUAUAUACUAUACUUUUAAGAUUGAAUAUAAUUUCCUCCUAUAUACGAUUGAUAACAUUUUCAUUGAAUGUGCUAUUGUUAUUGUAUAUUGGAGUUCAACAUACUAUAACUUACAGGAAAUAUAGCAAGGGUCCAACUCCCUCUUACCAAGUUUAUUGAGAUCUUUACAUGAUAUGGCUACUACCCAAAAAAAGAACUAAUAUAAUAUGGCCCAACUUUUAAGUAUAUCCGAAUUAGCCCAAGCAACAAAGUUGUUCCCCUUUAUUUAAACUUUUUAGCCAACGAAUCUUAAAAUUAUAUAUAUAUGAUAAAAUAUAAAAUAUAAUAAUAAAGAGAAUAGUUUAGCAUGAGCUUAUGACAAGUGACAUUUUAUAAUAAAAAUUUAUUUUGUAGAUUAUUGAUUAAUUUAUAUGUAUUUCAUAUUUAUAUUCUAUAUAUAUAAUAAAGAAGAAUAAUCUAGCACGAGCUUAUGUCAAGUGACAUCUUGGAAACUAGCACUUUACAAGAAAAAUCUAUUUUGUAGAUUAAUUAAUUCAUAUAUUCUCUCUCCCUAUCUCUCUCUCUCUAUAUAUAUAUAUAUAGAGAGAGAGAGAUAAUAAAAGAGAAUAGUCUAGCAUUAGCUUAUGACAAGUGGUAUCUUGAGAACUAGCAUUUUACAAUAAAAAUCUAUUUUGUUGAUUAUUUAAUUAGGACUAUCACAACAUUCAACUAUUGUACCAAGAGCAAUCAAAAGUGUAUCGUGAGCUAUAUAAUUUUUUGUCCUUCUGGCCCAGUUUGAUUGGCCACAAAACACUGAAAAGACUUAUCUACCUCCACGUAUGAGGAGAAAAAAUUACUUUUGCUUCAAAAAAUCCGAGAUCAAUUUCUCUAGAAUCAUGAAUUUCAGUUUACUCUCUUUCUAGAUCUAAAUUGAUGAGUUUUUACGUCUCACUCCAGAUUUAUGAUUAAGAUUAAUGUUUUUGUUAACGAAAAAUCUUGCCUUUCUUUGAAUAAGACUUUAUUUGUAAUUUUAUUAUUUUUCACUUUUUUUUUAUUUUUGUCUCUUUUAAAUAAGUAUCUAUUGAAAAUUUAGAUUUCAAAUCUUUGAUGAUUUUAUGAUAUUUUGGUUUAUCUACUGGUGGAAUUCUUAACAUGCAUAUUCUUAAUUGAGUAUAAGAUGCUUCUAAAAUAAUUAAAAAUCAAUUUCGAAUUCGAAUGCUGAUGAAGAAUUUCAUUAAUUUAAUUUGAAUCAUGAUUAUAAGUUUCAAAACGUAGCAUGUAUAUUCAGAUUUUUGAGAGUUGUUGCAGCACUAACAAAUUAAAUUAUUGUUACUAUCGAAGUCGAAAGAUGCAACAAUCAAAGAUUGUUUUGGACUUUUCUUUCUUGGUCCAAAUUGAUGUAAAAGUAAGCUUACAACUAAGCUUUGUAGUUAUAUUUUGUUCGCACAAUAAGUUUCAAUGAUAUAUUAAUCUUCACUAUAGAUUCAUAGAAAUAAUUAUUAGAAUAAUUCAACAAUUAUUAUUUCAACUACAAGGAAAAACAACAUUCUAAGUAAUUGUUUAGCUCUAUAUUUGAUAAUAGAGCUUAUUGAAAAAUCUCCGGCUACUUCUGCAGAGUUGUUUAGACUUUAUUAUUAUUUUAAUGUUCAAUUAAUAUUGCAACCUCCAGGAUUGCUGAGCCUUGAGAAUCAUUUAAUGCAUUUACAUGAUUCCAGUUUAUUUUUUUGUUGGAAGAGGCAAAGAAAAUUUCGAUCCAAAAGUAGACCCUAAAAAUUGAACACAAUAUGAUGAUUGGGAUGCUAUUAGAUUCUGAGCAAAUAAUUCAAGUAAAAUUUAUAUACAUUGACAGUAUACAAAACUUACUCUAUCAAUAUGUUACCAACACCGUCUUUCAAGCUGUUCAUCUCAUUUAUUAUAACAUGUUACGUGUAGUUAUAUCUUAGGAUAUUGACUUUAGUUAGCACUUCUCUGUAGCGGCCUCUUUUUGUUCACUAUUUGAUUUCUCUUCAAGAUAUUAUUAAUGAAAAUAUACAAUUCUUUUGAACAUAGUAAGAAUAUGUUGAUAGGUAAAUAUGCCUAACUGAAUUUUAAUCUAAAUUUUUUUGUGACACUUUGAUUUUCAGCUCCUCCUCUGAUAGUUAUGUAUGGCAGUCUAAAUUAACCUGAACAACUAUUAAAAUAGGCUGCUAAUGGUGGUGAUCCUUGUGGAGAGUCCUGGAC
rnacentral:lncRNA from 1 species